rnacentral:rRNA from 1 species
GACGAACGCUGGCGGCGUGCCUAAUACAUGCAAGUAGAACGCUGAAGCUUGGUGCUUGCACCGAGCGGAUGAGUUGCGAACGGGUGAGUAACGCGUAGGUAACCUGCCUGGUAGCGGGGGAUAACUAUUGGAAACGAUAGCUAAUACCGCAUAAGAGUAGAUGUUGCAUGACAUUUGCUUAAAAGGUGCAAUUGCAUCACUACCAGAUGGACCUGCGUUGUAUUAGCUAGUUGGUGAGGUAACGGCUCACCAAGGCAACGAUACAUAGCCGACCUGAGAGGGUGAGAGGCCACACUGGGACUGAGACACGGCCCAGACUCCUACGGGAGGCAGCAGUAGGGAAUCUUCGGCAAUGGACGGAAGUCUGACCGAGCAACGCCGCGUGAGUGAAGAAGGUUUUCGGAUCGUAAAGCUCUGUUGUAAGAGAAGAACGAGUGUGAGAGUGGAAAGUUCACACUGUGACGGUAUCUGACCAGAAAGGGACGGCUAACUACGUG